CCAGAGAGCCGGAUCGGGAGUGGAGCAGCCAGGACUUGGAUUGGUGCCCAUAUGGGAUGCCGGCACUGCAGAUGGUGGCUUUACCCACUACGCCACAGCACUGGCCCCAGCAAGAGGUCUUACAGAAGAAAAGCUGUGGUUCUGAGGUGACAGAGAUGUCACUUAAGCUGGACUCAAAGUUUAUAUACCAGGAAGUUUAAAAAGCAAUGAAAUUUAAAUUGUAAACAUUUUAAACCAUUAUAGGGCAAAAGUACCUCUCUGACGUUUUCAAUCCCACUCACAGGACUCUCUCCUGGGCUUUUCUAAUCGCCCCACAGUGCUGGGUGAGGACCUGGUCUGACACCCAGGCCAGCCGGGCUGCUGGACCAGGCGGAGCCGUCAGAAAGGCGCCUCCGAUGGCGGGCGUGUGUCUAGGGGACAGGGCAGCCCCGUGGCCAAUGAUUGGCCUGGCAAUGUGCACGUGACCCCAUCUUAGCCAAUGAGGUGCGAGGACUCUUUACCAAGGGAUUCUGGGAAAGUCCUGCUCCUCCGCCUCACUCUCAGGGAGGACUGUGGGAGGCGACGUUUUCUGGGCGGGCUGUGGCCGCUCUGGUGGCUGCUGCCCGUCAUGGAGGGACCAGAGCGAGCGGCGUGGCUUUAUGGUCCCAGCGCGGCUGUGGAGGCCGGGUUCCCGGGACUUCCAGCCCGGAUGCACCGAGCGGACCGGCGACGUCCCCGGAGCGAGCACCAGGCCGCGGCCGACACGAGGGAGCCGCCGUGCGGACGCGGGCUUGGAAGCCCCCAGGAGCCCGGGGUAUCGAAGACAUUGAAUACAUCCCUGAAGGUAUCAUAGUUGUCUCGCUCGUUGGUAAUAGACUGUUUGUAUGGUCGUUGAUCUGCUGGGCCGUCUUCUCCCUGAAAGCAAGGACACUUCAUUCAUUCAUUCAUUCAUUCAUGCAUUCAUCCAACAAAUCUUCACUGCAUGUUCUUAUGUUUUGUUUCAUGGAUCAACUUGGCCGGGCUGUAGUACCCAGCUACUCCAUAUCUACAAAUCUACUUGUUUGUGUGUGUGUGUGUGUGUGUGUGUGUGUGUUAAGAUUUAUUUACUUAUUUGAAAGGCAGAGAUACAGAGAGGCAGAAGCAGAGAGAGAGAUGUCUUCCACCGCUGGUUCACUCCCCAGAUGGCCACAACAGACAGAGCUGUACCAAUCCAAAGCCAGCACCUGGAGCUUCCUCCAGGUCUCCCACAUGGAUGCAGGGGCCCAAAGACUUGGACCAGCUUUUACUGCUUUCCCAGGCCAUAACAGAGAGUUUGACUGGAAGUGGAGCAGCCUGGACUCAAACUGGUGCCCAUAUGGGAUGCUGGCACUGCAGGCGGUGGCAAACCCAACUGUGCCACAGUGUGGCCUGUGCAUGUGUUUUGUAGAUGUAUUUAACAUCUAUAAGCACUUGACCUUAAAUCAAGGGAAUUGUCCUCUGUAAUCCAUGAGGCUCAUCCAGCCAGUUGAAAGACCGUUAGAGUAAAAGCGAGAGUAACUUGAGGAAGAUGAAAUUCUGCCUGUGGACGUAAAUCUCCCGUUUGACAGUUUCCAGUUUCCUGGUCUAGCUGAUGUAUUUCAGAUUUAUAUAUGCAGCCCACACAAUCCUAUAAGUCGACUUCUUGCCAAAAUCCCCCACCACCGCUUUCAUUCUCCGUAGAUGCAUAAAAUGUCUUUCUUACAUCCGUAGAACCUCCUGCUGGUUGUGUUCUCUGGUAAAAUCCUGACUGAUACGUCCUCUGUGUGAAGGGACUGAAUAUUCAGUGCUCAACAAAACAACGAUGGAGUUUACAGUUAUUGGGAGAAUAAAAAAUGGAUGAGUCCUUUGUAAGUUGUGGUAUGUACAAAGAAGGGAAAUGACAGCUGUUGCUGAUAAUCGGAAUUUAUAAGAUUGGGUGAUCGGCCACCACCGCGGCUCACUAGGCUAAUCCUCCACCUUGCGGCGCCGGCACACUGGGUUCUAGUCCCGGUCGGGGCGCCGGAUUCUGUCCCGGUUGCCCCUCUUCCAGGCCAGCUCUCUGCUGUGGCCAGGGAGUGCAGUGGAGGAUGGCCCAAGUGCUUGGGCCCUGCACCCCAUGGGAGACCAGGAGAACCACCUGGCUCCUGGCUUCAGAUCAGCGCGGUGUGCCUGCCACAGCGGCCAUUGCAGGGUGAACCAAUGGCAAAAGGAAGACCUUUAUCUCUGUCUCUCUCUCUCACUGUCCACUCUGUCAAAAAAAAAAAAAAAAAAAAAAAGAUUGGGUGAUCAGGGUGAAAGAAGGUGCCAGGUCUUUUAACAGAAAAGGAGAAGGUCUCAGGUAGAGGGCACAGCAAAGGUCCUGGGGCCAGCUGAGUGAGUGAGAUGUUUCUGAGAGUUCCAGAAGACUGAAAUAGGAUGAGUGUCCUCACAUCUCCCUUGAACCCCUGACUCAUAGACCCACUCAUCUGUUUGAUAUACCCACAUGCAUUUGUGUGAUUGAUUUUAUGUCUGUCUCCUCCAGAGAUGUAAAAUCAAAGUUCCAUAAAGGCAGGGAGUUUGUUUUGUUCCCUUGCUCUGUCGUCAGAGUGUUAAAGUUCCUGUCUUUAGCAGGUACUCCUAAGGAGAGGGUGAAUGAAGGCAGACAUGAAUGAAUGAAGUGUUAGAACGGUGAGGAACCACUGCAGGAGUGCAGGCAGGAGGAUAGGAUGAUACCAGCCGGCUAAAAGUGCAGGUGAAAGAGAAUGAAAGGGCUCAGCCAGCGUGGGGUGAAUUUCGGAGUCUGGCCCUAGUUUAAGAGGAGCAUAGAGCUAUAUAAAGAGAGAGAGGAAAUCUAGAGUGUCUCAUUCCAGCUUGAACAGGAAGUGGACGAUGGUUUCAGUGGUAGAAAUGGGAAAACCUCUAAAGGUCAACAUACUGAUGUUUCCAGGACUUAGCAUACGACGUUAGGACUUGUUGAUAAAUGAACGAAACAGUGAAUUUCAUUGCCAUCACUGUGCUUCGGCAAAAAGCAGCUACCCUAAAGUGUUUUAUAAGUUUCAAUGAUAUUUUUAGCUUCUUCCAGGGGAAAAAAAGCCGUAUUUAUUCCUUUAAUUUCAUGGCAAAAAGCAAAUAUCUUACUAGGUUUGAGGAACUGGACAUGGAUGAGUUUAGGGGACCUGUGGUUAUGGUGACACUAGAGGACAGGAAAAUUCCACCAGCUGCCAUGAACACAUGCUGUUGGUGCAGCAACCGUGGAGUGGGCGCGUGUCUAUGAUGGGUCUCUCUUUUUUUUUUUUUCCAGUGGUAACUUAGUAUCUUUUUUUUAUUUAAUAAAUAUAAAUUUAUAAAGUAUAACUUUUGGAUUGUUGUGACUUUUUCCCCCAUAACCUCCCUCCCACACACAACCAUCCCAUAUCCCACUCCCUCUCCCAUCCCACUCUUCAUCAAGAUUCAUUUUCAGUUAUCUUUAUAUGCAGGUGUUCAACUUAGUAUAGUUUAGUAAGUAUAGUGUAGUAAGUAAAGAUUUCAACAGACUGCACCCACACAACCACACAAGAUAUAGAGUUCAACUAGUAGUUUUACUGUUAAUUCUCAUAGUACAACACAUUAAGGACAGAGAUCCUACGUGGGGAGCAGGUGCACAGUGACUCUUGUUGUUGAUUUAACAAUUGACACUCUUAUUUAUGACAUCAGUAAUCACCCGAGACUCUUGUCAUGAGCUGUCAAGGCUAUGGAAGCCUCCUGAAUUCACCAACUCUGAACUUAUUUAGUCAAGGCCGUAUCACAGUGGAGCUUCCUUCUUCCCUUCAGAGAAAGGUGCUUCCUUCUUUGGUGGCCUGUUCUUUCUGCUGGGAUCUCACUCACCGAGAUCUUUCAUUCAGGUCAUUGAUGGAUCUCUUUCCUUGUUCUCUCCCUCUGAUUUAAGGCACACAUUUAUUUUCACUUGAAGUUUUAAAAAUUUUUUUCUCUUUUUUUAAUAGGAACCAUGCAGAAUUUAUUUUUUUUAAAUUUUUUUUAUUUGAUAGGUAGAGAUAUAUACAGUGAGAGAAAGAGAAAAAGGUCUUCCUUCCGUUGGUUCACCGCCCAAAUGGCUGCUACGGCCGGUGCUGCACUGAUCCAAAGCCAGGAGCCAGGUGCUUCCUCCCAGUCUCCCAUUGGGUGCAGGGCCCAGGCACUUGGGCCAUCCUCCACUGCCCUCCUGGGCCACCACAGAGAGCUGGACUGGAAGAGGAGCAACCGGGACUAGAACUGGCAGCCAUAUGGGAUGCCGGUGCCACAGGCAGAGGAUUAAUUUAGUGUACCACUGCGCCCGCCCCCUAUUUGACUUUUUAAUUAGCCAUUCUCUCAUGAGGGCAGUGGAAUUUUCCGGAGGCAAAGAGACCAGUGGUAUUGUAACAAACCAAAUGCAAAAGCAGACAGGAAGACCCAGCUCUCUCCCACUAAGUUGAAAUUAAAGAAGUUCUUGGGGUGGCCAUUUGGCCUGGCCAUUAGGAUACCAUAUCCAGGUGCUGUGGUUGACUUUCCUGUUCCAGCUUCCAACAGUGCAGACCCUGGGCAGCUGCAUGUGGCGGCUCAAGUGGCCGGGUCCCUGCCUGACCUGGAUUGAGUUCCUGGCUUCAGCUUGGCCCAGUCCUGGCUGCUAGGGGUGUUCAUGGAGUGAACCAGAGGAUGGGAACUCUUUGUCUUUCUCUACUUCUAGAAUAAAUUUGAAAACAGGAAGGAAAUCCUCAAGAAUGUAAAAUAAUGUCAGCUUUGAUGGUAUCUAUUUUUUACUUUGGAAAAUAGUUAUUUUUCAGUAAAAGAGAACACAUAAUGAAUUAUUUAAAAAUAAAUUCAUAAAUUUUAGAUACAUGGUUUUAAUAUCUACUAUAGGGAAUAUCAAUGUAUAUAAUCCACAUUAACAAAAGCUCUUUGUGUAAUUCAGUAGUUUUCAAAAGGGAAAUGUUGCCUUCAGCCAAAAAAUUGAGAACUGUUGUCCCACGGUUGUUUUUCCUCUAAAAGAACCCUAAGGGAUAUCCAUGGGGACUCUUUGCUGGUCCUUGGUCAGCUGCAAAUUGUGAGUCCCGUGAGUUGUGACCCAGCAGCUGCAGGUGAGCAGAUGUACUGGGGCACUUGGAUGAAGCCCCUUGUGUUCCAGAGUCAACAGUAAUGGUUUCUGUGAAGAUUAAGCAAAAACUAGAAAAACAGGCUCUCAGAAUUCCAUUCAAGUAGCCAAGUCCACACUGAAAGAGGAACAGAUGGGUCAUUCUUCAAACAAAGAUGUUUUAGGCAUGCAUAAUGUGACACAGUCAAAACAGCAUUGUCCCACAGCAAGCAGUGUGGGAGUCAAGACAGCUUUCCUUGCGGUCCGUUUCAUCUUGGGAAAAGCAAACCUCUCUGGGCCUCAGUUUUCUCAGCUGAGGUUUGUAUUGGAAUCUAAUAGUCAGUCAUUCGUUCAUGCAUUUGUUUGUUCUUUUAGUCAACAAAUAUUAACAUCUCCUUAGCAUCAUACACAUUGUUAAGCACUAUGUAAAAGUAAAUGACUUAAUUAUUUUUUUAAAAAGACAAAAGAUUUAUUUGCUUGAAAGGCAGAAUGAUACAUAUAGAGAGAUCUUCUACCUGCUAGUUCACUCGGCAGAUGGCCAUAACAACCAGAUAUUGGCCAGACUGAAGCCAUAAACCAGGAAUUCCAUCCAGGUCUCCAGCGUUAGUAGCAAGGGGUCCAAGAACAUUAGCAAACCAGGAGCAUUAUCAGGAAGCCAGAUCAAGGGCACAGUAGAUGGAAUUUGAUCCAAUAUUCAAAAUGGGAUGCAGCUAGCGCAAACACUGGCUUAACCCACUGCGCCAAAAUACCAGUCCCAUAGUAACCUAAUUUUGACCCUGAGAUAUUCAGUCUCUGGGGAGUUAAAUCGAUAAGUACUUAAAAUUUGUUUAAAAUUUUUAAGUAAAAAUAGCAGUGUGCCUUCACAAUAUUUUCUUUCCCCAGCUAAACACUUCCCCAACCAAUAUUUAUUUGCAGUCAGAGUGCUUAUUAUCUCCCUACAUGAUAGCAUCCAGGAGGCCAGGGACUUUGGCUUUUCAACCUAAGUUUUCCUGGCAUGUGGAUGACACUCAGUGACUAUUUGUUGAAUGAGUGAAAGUAAAAAGGACAAAAAAUAAAUGAAGGAUAAGUAUAUGUACAGUGGAAAGAAAGAAAAGGCAAAGAGAGGACAGUUCUCAGGAAAACAACCGGUAUAUUUAUUAAGAGGCUGGGUUGAGGUCAGGUGCAGGGUCCCAGGCAGAAGGGAGCACAGACAAGAGCCUAACAUGUGGAAGAUGGGGUUGAAAGCUGUUCAGUGCACAGAGUUGAUCUGUAGGCUGGGGAAGGGGCAGCGGUAACAUUCUGUGAGUCUGUGAAGCAGCGGUUGUGAAGGAACAAGCAGCUUGAGCCUCUGCCGCUUUGCUUCCUGGGCAGUGUGGACUUCGGUGCGAGCUGGUCCGAUGGAGAAGUGGUUUGAGUGCGGGCAGCCUGUUAAUUAUCAUCUCACCAUGUUGGUGCUAGAUUUGGUAUGAUUAUGGUUAAUGGACACUGAGUCAUUACUAAGUGGAAAGAAAGCACUCAACAUGUAUAAUCUUCAAACACCCAACAAGACAAAAGUGAGGUGGACACUUUCAUUGAUUCCCCUUUUAUAGACGAGGAUACUCCUGCUCAGUGGGCUUCCAGGACUUUACCAAAGUAAGUGGCAGAACUGGACUGUCGCAGCCAGGAUCAUGGAGGCCCUCAAGGGCCUCUACCCCUGAUCUCCCUGCCUGUGUAGAGAUCUCCCAGGGUGAAAUCAGCCUGGCACAUGUGUCCUGUGAAAUACAGUAGACAUGAUGGUAUGUCCUCAGAGACAUCGCAACUCCAACCUUACUUUUUUGAUUGCUCGCUCUUGGUGAAGCCAGCAGGCAGGAGACUCGAGCAACCUGGUAGAAGGGCCUGUAUGAAGAGGAACCAAGUUCUCCCUCAAAGAGCCAACACUGACCCAGUGAGCCACCUUAAAGUGGCUUCUCCACCCCAGUGAAGAUUUUAGAUGACAUCAGCUCCAGGCGACAUCUGACAACUCAUGAUGGACCCCAAAACCAGACUACCCUGUGAAGUUACAUGGUUCCUGAGCUAUUGAGACCAUAAGAAAUCAUGAAUAAAAAUUGAGAGUUAAGCCACUGGAUUUGAGAGUAAUUUGUUAUGCAGAAGAAGAUAAUAGAGUUGGAAUUACAAUUCAGAUUUGUCUGACUUGAAAACCACAUUUCUUAUUCUCUUUUUUGCUACCUCUGAUAAGUGACUUGUCCCAUUGGGUGUGACCCAGACAGUGGCCCCCGGAGGCAGCCAUAGCAUCUAGGAGUAAUUCUAGUGUUAGGACAUAGGGCAGGAUUCUGCAAUUAGUCAAUAUGCCCAGAGAGAAAGCGACUUCAAAUAAAGGGUUGUUCUAAUUUUCUGUUGAGAUUAAUUUUAAAAAGGUUUAAGGGGACUUGAGAAUAUGAUCUUUAACUGAAGUAGAUGCAAUCUUUAAAUGUCUAUUUAAUACGAUUUCACUAUCCCUAUUUAAAAUUUAAUGCUAUAUGAAAUAGAUGCUAAUAUAGGAGUGCUGUUUUCUCCCACUCCUGCAUCAAGAACCACUUUAUUCCUACUGUCCAUCUGCAUCCUCCUGAUCCUUGCUAUACAGAUCCAUGGACUGGCAGCAUUAGCGUACCCUGGAUUGUCAGAAAUGCGGAAUUUCUGAAUCUCAAGCUUUACUCUAGGCCUACUAAAACAAAAUAUGCUGCUGGGUCUCCAGUGUUCGUGUAUUGGAAGUGUAACCCCCAAAUUUACAUGUAGUGGUAUUGCAAGUUCAGGCCUUCGGGAGGUCAUUAAGAUUACUUGAGGUCAAGGUGGGGUGGGGGUGGGGCUCGUGGUGGCCUUAGCGGCUUUGUAAGAAGAGGAAGAGAGACCUGAGCUAGCCACCUUCUCUGGCUCACCAGCUGAUGCCCGUGCCGUGCGUUGAUGCGCCAAGGAGGCCUUUAGCAGACGCAGGGCCCAAGCCCUUGGACUUGUGAGUCUCUGGAACUGUAUGCUAAGAAAACCCUUAUUUGUAGAUUACCCCGUCUGUGAUGCUCUGCUAUAGCAAUGGAAAAUCAGCCACACUGAAUUUCUGUCAGAUGCCCAGGGGGUUGGUGUCACGCUGUGGUUUGGGAUGCUCUGGUCUUGUAAGCACCUAGGUUACCUGUUUUCUCAGGGACGAUGCUUGUGCUCCAGCCUGCAUUGAACCUCUGGUGAGGCAGAGGUAGACACUGGACAUUGGUGUCUCUUCACCUUAAUUACAGAACUCCACUUUUGUCUGAGCAGUCAGUACACAGUUAGAAAUGCUCAACUUCCUAAAAUCCUUUGCACCCAGGACUGGGCACUUAGCACAGUUCAGCUUACGACCAGUGACAGGUGCAGGUCAGCUCUGAGCUCAGGGAGGGGGCUUCAGGGAAAGUUCUUUUUAUCAGGGCACUGAGCUUGCAUCUACCUUUUUGACUUUUACCUUGUGGUCUUAACCCUUUACUCGGCCUAGGGAAUGGUUAUGAGACUGUUAUCUUGUAAUCACAAGAACUAAAACCACAAAUGAGGAUGGUGGAAGGCAAAGUGAAAAGGAGAUUGUGUUCUUAGUGGGACUGUCUUAUAGCCAGCCCAGACUUGGACUACUUCUAUAUGAAUUUGUUCUGUGAGAAGAACCUGAUUUUUUAAAAAAAUACUUAUUUAUUUGAAAGGCAGAGUUACAGAGGGGCAGAGGUGCAGAGGCACAGAGAGAGAGGUCUUUCAUCUGCUGGUUCACUUCCCAGAUAGCCACAAUGGCCAAAGCUGGACUGAUACGAAGCCAGGAGCCAGGAGCUUCUUCCUGGUCUCCCACAUGCAUGCAGGGGCCCAAAGACUUGGCCCAUCUUCCACUGCUUUCCCAGUGCAUAUCAGAGAGCUGGAUUGGAAGUGGAGCAGCCAGGACCUGAACCGGCACCUGUAUGAGAUGCUGGCACUGCAGGCAGGGGCAUUACCCGCUAGGCCACAGUGCUGGGCCCGAGUCUGAUCUUUUUGAUUAAGUUAUUAUGGUCAGGCUUGUAUUCUGUGGAGCCAGCCAUGAUCCUAGGACACAAGUACAUGUCCUCGUCACAGCAGGACAGUACUGUUUUUCAUACCUUGUGUAGGUGUGUAUUUCCCUGAUCACCAACAUUUAACCACUUGCUGUCAUGCUUUUGAAAAGUGAUUUUUAAAAGGCUGUGUACAAGGGUGUGGUCAUAUACCCAGGAAUAAUGACUAAUGCUAUGCUCAUUCAUUUCUCUUUUUGUUUUUGUCUGAGUCCAUCUGGUGACUCCUGGAAGCAGCUGCCAUGGUUUGUACCCUACAGGUUUUUAGAAGAAGCUUUCUCCCCAGUGUGGCAAUGCUAAGAAUGGGGCCU